CGGAAACCUCUGUAACGUGAGCCCAGGUCAGCGCUUCCUCCUGAGAAGUGGAUUUGUUUCAAGUAUUGGUCACAGUGACGGAAAGCUGACACCAUGACAAGGAUGUGGGAAUGAGGAAGGUGCUGUCUUACCCUAAAAUGCCAAAUAGUUGUGCCCGCCUGUGUGUGGAUGCCCUGGAAGAUGCCCAUCCUAGAUUGCUAAGACAUCAGGGACCAGGAGGACAUUUUCUACUAAGCACCUGUGUCACAAGCUGCAAGCAGGAGCUCAGUGAGUGCCAAGUGUGACCCGAAUAGGCUCAAAUCUGCUUCACUCAAAACAUGCUCUGGGGCUGGGGUUGUGGCUCAGUGGCAGAGCACUUGCCUCACAUAUGUUGGGUUCCAUUCUCAGCACCGCAUAUGAAUAUAAGAAAAAAUAAACAUCUAUCAACAACAAUAAAAAGAUCAAAUUUUAAAAAAUGUUCUACAUUACAGAGUGAAGAAAAUGCUGAUUUUGAAAGCAAGCUGAGGUAGGGUCACAUCUAUCAUCUUGUGGCUGCUGGUGGGUCCAAGUUUCCUGGAGCCUCCCAGCAGGUGACAAGGGCUUCCUGAGUUUCCUCAGGAGUCGGCCCUCCUCUCCUCCCAGUCUAGGGGGUUCAGGAAGAAAUGAUCUCAGUUCUGACACUAGAGGAGGGCACGUGCCCUGUGCUUGGCCAACCAUGUCUUUGCAUUCUCCACCCUUACAGCCUGGCCAGGCAACAGGACUCCAUUCUAGAUUUCUCUGGGAAUACCGACAGGCACUCUGUUUCAGCUGAGACUGCAGAUUAGACAGGCUCCGAGCCUAGUCCAAGUAGGGGCUGCCGACGUAAAAGCCUUCAUUCAGCCCUAGAUGAUACUGAAAGAAUCUCCAGGUCGUGACGACAAUUCAUAAGCUUUGAAGAAGCAGCAAUCCUAUUAUGUCAACUGACUUCUGUUUUCUAACUGCUGCAUUGGAAGGACGAGGAUAUCUCUAUGAGGACAUUUCUGGUUCCAUGACCAUCAGCCGUCAAUAAACAAAAAGCACUGCUAAUAGACCAGACGGGCAGGGGAAGAGGUCCUAUUUAAAUUUACAAUUCCACGGGCUCUGUGUUGUAUUUACUGAGACACUGGAUGUCAUUAGCAAAGUUCUUUCUGAGAUACUCCAUACAAAAUUCCUGUUUCAUCGCCCGGGAGUCUAGCCUUCAAUCAUACACGUAAUGACUACAAAAGCUUAUAAAGCAUUCUCUUACUCAUUUAAUCUACAGAAUAUAUUUGUACAGGGAAAGGAACUUGUUUAUUUGAAUUGUAAAUGAACUUGUAAAGUCUUGUGUUAAUCCAAAGCAACAAUCUCUAAAUGAUGCAGACUCUUUAUGGUCUGGAAACCUUAGACCCUAGGGUCUCAUAUCCUUGCAGUUAAAUAAACAGUGCCUUUCAGAUGCAAGUCAAACCUGAACAAACCCUGGUUCCUCCUGCAGGGGUCAGCACAUUCCUUCUAUUAAGCCACAUGGUAAAUUCUGUGGCUUGAUGGACUCAGGCCCAAUAGUUUGCCAACCCUUGUCCUACAGCAUAUUUCUGCCGACAAUCUUCCUGCUACUGCAAAGGGACAGGCUUGCCUGAAAAUUAAGCCAAGGAGAGGAAAGGAGAGACCCACUCAUGUGAGACUGAAACCUCACUUCACCAUUUGCUGCUCUGGAUCCAGCUAUACCUGAAACCAUUUCCUCACCUAAGACAUGGGACCUCAUGAAGACCUCACAGACAGGGGCUCCAGGGGACACAGUGGGCCAGUUGCUGUGUUAGCAUCUUUUCUUGUCCUAUUCUACGGAUGCAGGAAAGGAGACACAGAGCGGGCCUUGAUUUAAAUCAUGAAAUCUCCCAGGGCUCAGCUUUCGCCAGACAAUUCCAUUUGCUCCCCUGGCUUUGAUCAGCAUUGAUAACCUGGACAUUUUUCUAAAGGUGUCGCUUCAGCCGAGAAGACUCUCCUAACUGACCCAAUGCUGGUGCGUAACGCGGGCCAAGCUAAUUAACUUCUGGGUCUCAAUUAUCCAUAUGUGUAAAACAGGGGACGUAACAGCACCCACCUGGGGGGAUCAUUGUGAGAAACAGAAUGAUUUCACAUAAAUCCAUGCUCUGGCACAGUCUCCCCGUCACAACUAGUAUCACGCCUUGCUUCAUCUCCCUCAGGUCACAGGCACCUCACCUCCACUUCACCUAAAGUGAAUCAUUUUUAUCCUUAACCACUUUCCAGGAAUGGCAAAGCCGUUAUCUAACUGCUCAGAGAGAAGGAGCAGGAUUGUCCUCAACUCCACCUCCUCCCUCCCUGCACCAGAUCACCCAGAUUUAUCCCCAAGACGGGUCUAAAGGAGCCCCUGAGUUAUUCCCACCCUCCUGAUCCCCUCCUCUGGAGACCAGCUGUCUACACCCUCAGCUUCUGGGUUCUGCUCUGGUUAUUUAAGGUCUUCCAUGCAGCAGCCAGGGGCAGCUCUCACACACCUGAUCGAGGUGCACCCUGCUCUUGGCCCAAUCCCCCCAGGAUCUUCCUCGCUCUUAGGGCGGGAGAAGCCUUCACGCCAACUCACAGGGACGUGACCAGCCCCAUCACCGACCACACACAGGCUCCUGCUCCUCUGCUUUCUUUCCUUCAAAUACCAGUGACAGACCACUUCUGCCUCGAUGCCCUGACACUGCCGCUCCCUCUGCCUGGCUGAUUAACGACUUGUGUCACCGCUGCUUGCCAGUUUCCUCUGUCACAGACAUCCUUCUGAACAGGACCCUCUGAAGUCCAGUCCUUCCCAGAGGGGGACCCAGCGCAAGCUGCAGCCGGUGGCUCUCUGACUAGUGAACGGUGAGCGGGCCACCCAGAUCUGGCAGGAGACCUCUCAGGGGUGCCUGCAGGGGUGGCUCCUAAGAAAGGCUUCCCGAGUUGAGAAACAACCCCAUUUCUGCCCCUGCCCACUGUGGUGUUGGGAGGUGGGGACUGAAGGGUCGUAGGAGUCUUGCAGCAUCGGGGGCCGGAGUCCUGGAGCAAGGUGGGGGGUGCAGAGAGCAGAGAAUCAUGGGAGGUGGGAUCGGGGCGAGCCUGCUGCACAGGCAGAUUUGCUGGGUGAGAAUGUCCAAUGUGCAUAAGGACUUCCGCUACUGCAGUCCAAACCCGCCUAAUUGACAUGCCACUACAGCACGGCGCACUCUGGAGGGUAAGAUGACCAUUCGUGACACGUAGUGGACGCUCAGGGACACCGAUUGAAUGGAAAGCGACUGAGUAUUUCUAAACAAAAGACAGGACAAGCUCUGGCUCCCCCCCCCCACACCCAAGCCUUCCCAUCUCCUAGAAUGUUCCCUGGUAGAGAACGCAAUGCAGGUUCACCCAGUAGGUACCACGGCACAAUAGAAGGCCGUGUCACCUCCGGACCGCAGGUAAGGAAUGGCACCCGAGAACCGGCUCACACCCAAGGGGACAUGAGCAGCUGCCACACUGCUUUUAAAAGCUCUCUUGGUUCUAAGCGUUAUCUCCUGGACUGACCAAGUCGACGUGUUUGCUUGAACUUGAUCACUGGCUUUUCACACAAGUUCACCCCCCAUGACACAAGGAGAUUGCUGAUUGGGGUCAUUGGGUCUAUUAUUGAAGGGUGACAUCACAAACUAAACUAUAUAUAUUUUUCAUUUGUAUAUAAUAGCCCAGAAAGCAAUGACCCAAGUGAUCAAAUCGUGGGGGAUUCACUAAAUUAAGGAACCAAUGUGUGUCUAUGUGGCCAUUAAAAAUGAUGACGGAGCCCGGGCCCGGUGGUGCACACCUGUGAUCCAGCAGCUUGGGAGGCUGAGGCAGGAGGAUCUCAGGCUUACAGCCAGCCUCAGCAACUUAGUGAGACCCUUUCUCAAAAUAAGAAAAAAAAUUAAGAAGGGCUGGGGAUGUGGCCCCAUGGUUAAGUGCUCAUGAGUUCAAUUCCUGGCACACACACACAAAAAUGAUGGGUUAUUCUAUUAGUUCUAUUAGCAUCAAAAAUUGCCACUGUUCAUUGCUCGGUGAAAAAAAAUAAAUUGCCAAAUGUUAUGUAUAGUAUAAUUCUGGCUUUCUAUCUAUGGCAGGCAGAGGAUUUAGAAGAAACUCAGCUAAGAGUGGUUCUACUUGGCUGAUAAAAUUAUAAUGAACUUGAGCUUCUCUAUGAUGUUUUUCUGACAUUUUUUUUUUCAGGGAGCAGGGGUGGAUUUAAUCCCAUCUCUGCCAUCUAUCUGCCACGUGCUGAACCUCAGUAGCUACCUAUGUACCAGAGUGAAGGCCAGAGACCCUCUGUCUCUGAAGUUGUAACGAGGAAGGGAGACAGUUGCAAGUUCAAAUCCACACCUUAGAACGAAAGUGCAAGAGGAAGAAAACAGAAAUCAGGUCCCUUUUAAUGAAAUUCAGGAAUACAAGUUAAACAAUUUGUUUUGAAGUUUCCCAAAAUUGAGACUUCUACUGGAAUUUUGACCAUAACUCCAAAAUAGUAACAAAAACCAAUUAACAACAACAAAAAUGUGAUACAUCGUCCAUACUCUCAAACAAUGAACCUUUCUCGACAAGGUUAAUCAGUAUCAUAUAAAUGCAAAGGAACAAGAAGUAUUCUGCGCAUACCAAUAAGGACCUAGUAAAACACUAUUGUAAACACAGUAACAAUGGCAUGUAUUCUACUGCAGAUCCAAGAUCUCACAGGACCCAGAGCUGAAAAACAACAGAGAUGCUUUGUCACUCAUUUACACAGGUCUUCUUCUACGCAACCAGAUGGGGGAGAGGAAGGAAAGCCAAUUAUUACAUAUAUAUUGAUUCACGAGAGAAAAACAGGUGGAGCUUAAAAUAACCAUGUUUUAGGAAAACCAAUAUUUAAAAUACUGCAGGCCACAAUCAUUUUUCAAGGCCUGAGUUUGGUGUAAGAAUAUAUUUCUUUAAUAAAUGGUAAAGUCAAAAAAAAAAAAAAAAGAAACCUACUAAGGGAUAGUUUGGCAAAAUGAUUCCCAGGCUCUGUAUGAUCAAAAGAAAUCUCCAAAGGUAGCUAACUAUUCUACAGAAUUAGCUGAAACAUUAUAUUCCUGAAUUGUUCUUCUGCAUACUGAAAAUUUGGUCUUUCAUUAGGCUAGUGAGUGCCUUAAGACGUAGGGUAGUGAUAUGGAAAACCAUGUUCCACCUCAAAUAUUGUCAAGACGUGAUUUAAAUGCCCUCGCCUUUCUCCAUAGUCCCUGUCACUGGUCAUCUUGUUCUAAAGGGCCACAUGUCCUUUUCCAUUUUGUAGAAGGCCGAGUCAGAAGGGCGGACUUUGAUUUCAUUUUUCUUACUACUAGCCUAUUCCUUGGGCAAAGAUAAGAUGAAAAAAAGCAAUGGUAUCAGGGUGAGUGGAGCACACCUAAAAUCCCUGGGGGGAAGGGUGGGGGGCUGAGGCAGGAGGAUCUCAGGCAAGUUUGAGGCCAGUCUGAGCAGCACAGUGAGACCCUCAUCUCAAAAAUAAUAACAAAGAAAGAAAGAAAAAAUGAGGGAAAAGAAAGUGGUAAUUUUUAAUGCUUUUUAAAAAAGAUCUGUAUAAUAUCAACAUUAUUUUAUAAAUAAUAUGUACCCUAAAGUUAAUAAGCCAGAUUCAGGUGACAAAGCCAGUGUGACAGAAUUUACCUGGACAGACGUUCUGGCAGUCAGGGAGAAUAGCAAAAGCCCUCCCUUCCCAGCUACACACAGCGGGAACUCACUGUAAAACAGGUGACAGCGAAAACCCCCCCCAAAUGCACUGGUCCUUUUUAACCUUAGUACUGAUCUGGGAAGAAAACAGACCCAAAACUAACACUGUCCUGUUGAAAGUUUUAAAUGGAAUCAUUUUCAAUUAAACUAGUAGUAGAUUUACAUCACUCAGUAAUGGAUAUAAUUACGCCCAAUAUCAUUAACCAGUUACGAAGUUCAUUAACUAUUCGCCUAACUGAUGUGAUUCUGCAAUCUGUAUAUGGGGUAAAAAUGGGAGCUCAUAACCCACUUGAAUCAAAUUGUGAAAUAUGAUAUAUCAAGAACUAUGUAAUGUUUUGAACAGCCAACAAUAAAA